UACGUAGGGGGCAAGCGUUGUCCGGAAUCAUUGGGCGUAAAGAGCGUGUAGGCGGCCAGAUAAGUCCGCUGUGAAAUCUCGAGGCUCGACUUCGAGCUGUCGGUGGAAACUGUCUGGCUAGAGUCCGGAAGAGGAGAAUGGAAUUCCUGGUGUAGCGGUGAAAUGCGCAGAUAUCAGGAAGACCAGUGGCGAAGGCGGGUCUCUGGACAGUUCCUGACGCUGAGGCACGAAGGUCAGGGGAGCAAACGGG
rnacentral:rRNA from 1 species